rnacentral:rRNA from 1 species
CGUGCUUAACACAUGCAAGUCGAACGAUGAUGGCCAGCUUGCUGGUUGGAUUAGUGGCGAACGGGUGAGUAACACGUGAGUAACCUGCCUUUGACUCUGGGAUAAGCGUUGGAAACGACGUCUAAUACCGGAUACGACCUCUGACGGCAUCGUCUAGGGGUGGAAAGAACUUUGGUCGAAGAUGGACUCGCGGCCUAUCAGGUUGUUGGUGGGGUAAUGGCUCACCAAGCCUACGACGGGUAGCCGGCCUGAGAGGGUGACCGGCCACACUGGGACUGAGACACGGCCCAGACUCCUACGGGAGGCAGCAGUGGGGAAUAUUGCACAAUGGGCGAAAGCCUGAUGCAGCAACGCCGCGUGAGGGAUGACGGCCUUCGGGUUGUAAACCUCUUUUAGUACAGAAGAAGCCAGCUUGCUGGUGACGGUAUGUGCAGAAAAAGCACCGGCUAACUACGUGCCAGCAGCCGCGGUAAUACGUAGGGUGCAAGCGUUGUCCGGAAUUAUUGGGCGUAAAGAGCUCGUAGGCGGUUUGUCGCGUCUGCUGUGAAAUCCGGAGGCUCAACUUCCGGCCUGCAGUGGGUACGGGCAGACUAGAGUGCGGUAGGGGAGAUUGGAAUUCCUGGUGUAGCGGUGGAAUGCGCAGAUAUCAGGAGGAACACCGAUGGCGAAGGCAGAUCUCUGGGCCGUAACUGACGCUGAGGAGCGAAAGCAUGGGGAGCGAACAGGAUUAGAUACCCUGGUAGUCCAUGCCGUAAACGUUGGGAACUAGAUGU